UGUAACUCGAUCGCUUGAUCUGGAAGCGAUAUGUGGACUUCCGUUGCCCGUUCCUCCGCCACAAGUUGGCAAAGGACUGCUGCCUGCAAGAACAAACAUAGCUCUGUCCAUCUUCCAAUUCAUCGAGAGAGGUAAUCUACAAGGGCAAAUAAACAAUAAAAGUAUGUGUAGUAAAAAUAACGAGAA
rnacentral:sRNA from 1 species